UUGGAUUUGGAGUGAGAGAACAUGAGUUCCUAUCCAGACUUAUUUAGGUAAGUCACUUUCCAUCUCUGGACCUCAGUUUCCUCCUCUGUCAAAUGGGGAGGUUGGGACCAGGAGACUCCUAAGGUUCCUUCCAGCUCUUGGUCUAUAAUUCCAAGGAGCCAAUGGCUAUGUCCAUGUCUUGGCCUUUAUCCUCUCCCUAUUGUAUUCAGUUCUAGAGCCAUAACUGAUGGAUGGUAAUGAGUUGGAGAAUGUCAAGAGAGUAGCAACUGUGAGAGUGAAGAGCUCUGCGAGUGUGCCACAGGAAAAUCAUCCGAAGGAGCCUGGAAUAUUUAGCUGGAGAAAUAGAUUCAAGGGAAACAUGACAACUACAGUCAAGUCCAUGGAGAUAAAGAAACUGAGGCUCUGGGAGGACUUGCAUAGUCACACAUCAAGUUUCCAAAUAUGGAUCAAAUCCAGUUUUUCUUGCUCCCUGCCCAGUGCCUUUUUCCCUAGAUAAAACAAC
rnacentral:lncRNA from 1 species